GACGGGCCUACAAGGACGGAGUCCGGAAGUGCAGUCGCGCUACUCGGGCCUGGGCUGGGGUCGCAGGGGUCGCCGGGGCGGCGAGGCCGGCAUGGCGGCGCUGCGGAGGCACGUGUUUGUUGGAAAAGUGCUGAAGAAACUGUAUCCUGAGGUUCCACGUGGCCAAGAGAAGAGGGCCCCAGUGAGUCCAGCCUGCAGAAACCCACCUGAGAAAGUGGCUCCUGAGAGAGUGAAGGGCGGGGGCAUCCCCCCCAUGACAGGUGGUGACACUCAGGUCCAGCCUGCGCGACGGCUCUACACCGUGGGCCUGCCUCCUGAGGGGUGGGUCCCCCCUCCGCCGGAGGCCCCCAGCUGCUCGAGUCCUGAGAGCUCCUCCAGCGGCGAAGACAUAGGAGAUCAGGAUCUUCAGGCUCAACCAAAGAGAAGAAGAAUUAGAAAGCAUAAUUCAAAGAAAAAAUUUAAAAAUCCCAGUAACAUCCCUCUAGAACAAGCAGAAUUAGAGAAACAGCAGAGUAUUUUGCAAGAAAAAUUGCAGCCACACAGCCACAGCCACACAGAUGGCCCCACAAUAAGCAAAAAUAAAAAAAGGAAACUGAAAAAGAAAGAGCAAAUUAAAAGGAAGAAAGCAGCUGGCUUACUAACAGGAGUCUCUGGCAUCAACUUCAUGUACCAGCCUGAGGAGACCAGCAGUGAGCAGGGCGACGUGAGAGUGAGUGAUGGAGAGGACGGCGCAGACGGGGAGGGAGGGGGCCCGGAUGCCGAGGAGGAAGGAGCCACAGACGCCGGGAAGGAAGACGUUAAAAGUACCAAUGAAAAGGCAGAUGAUAUCCUGAACUUUUUGAAGUCAACACAAGAAAUUUAUUUUUAUGAUGGUGUCUCCAAGGAUUCGGACUCGGCUGUCUUCAUGGAGACCAGUGGAGAGCUAUUUAAAUAUCUUGAAACUCACAGCAUGCCCUCCUCAGAUGUGUUCAUUCUGGAUCACAUGAAAACGCUGUUACUUUUGCAAGAUACUGAAAGAUUGAAGAGUGCCCUGGAAGUGUUCCCAGAACAUUGCAGGAUGCCACCCGCAUGUCAGGGGCUCCUGAGAGGCAGAGUUUAACAAUGACUGCUGCCCACCUUCUGCCCGGAAUUAACGAGGCUCCUUGGAGAAAUGGCCGGUUCCAGGCGUGGAGCAGGAAAAGUACAAGUUCUUCUAGGAAGCUGUUUUAUCCAGUAAGAUAGAUUGGAGUUUUCAGCCUGGAAGAAGGAGCAAGGUGACCACGCCACAGAGACGCCAGGGUGGAAACGGCAGGGGUGGAGCCCCGGCCGGCCCUAGAUGGAGCCGGGUUCCAGGAGGAGAGAGAAUUUAUGAACCUGUGAGAUGCCCGCGAGCGCCUGGGGCCAGAGGGGGAAGCAGGGACUGAAUCAGGGCAGCGGUCUUUGACGAUCCAGUCCUGGCUGCUUGGUCGACUGUCGUGGGCUUGGUGUUGGGCUUCCUGGACUGUUUGCUGGAGACGCAGCCUGACCUCAGCAGGGCCCUGGGCAGGUGAGUGCAGAGGGCGGGCUGGGCCCUGGGCAGGUGACCACAGGUGAGGGGCUGGGCCCUGGGCAGGUGAGUGCAGAGGGCAGGCUGGUUCCAUGGGCUGGUUGCUGCAGGCUAUGGGCCAGGGUUCCACUUUUGCACCUGGUCUGGCCGUGUCCAUGCGCACGGUCAGUCUCUCGUUCUGAAGUGACGAGGGCUCCCUGUCUCAGGCUUGGCUGGAGCACAGACCCCGGACCCACCCUCGGAGCCCAGCUUCGUUUCCGAGCGCCCUUCCUGGGUGAUGCACGGGGCUGAGCCCCGCCCAGGAGUGACCGCUGGCCUUUCUGGCUGUUUUGUUCUCCUCUGAGUGACCACUUUAUCCGAGGGCUCGGCCCCACACGGCCAGCACUCCGACGUGGUCUUCAAGGGGGGGGUGUGCUUCAAACCUGCAAAAGGAGGGCCGUGUGAGGAGAGGCCCUCUGGUUUCUCCCGCGAGGUUGGCCCCCAUCCUCUAACCAGGGGGAACGGGCCUGAAAAGACGCCAGUGCCUUGGAGCUAAAACGCGGAAAGAGAGCAACAGUGUCCUUCCUUGAGAACACCCGCCUCCAGGCUUUGUGAUAGGAGAGCAACACCCCUGCUCUUUGGGCAAAGAGAGUCCGAAGGCUCCGCCCUACAGGGACUGCGUGGUCCUCUUCUCAGAAAUGUCGGACGCUGGGUACUUACUGAUGGGAAUUUGUACCGAAUCCAUCCUGGGGAAAUGUUCAAGCCCAACGCUGGAGCGGAAGAUGUUCCAGGGAAGCUUGCUGUCACCUCGUGGCAGUGCGUGGCCUGUGACAGCUGCACAGCUGGGGGGUGUGCGGGGGUAUCAGGGCCCCAGGCGAGGCCCUGACGUUUCAGCCUUUGACUUCAGAGAGCUGAACGCUGGCUGUAUUCCCACGUAACUACUGCACUUGGAGGAAAGUAAGAGCAAGUGGGUUUGCAGUUUACAGCUGUUAUUCUAAACAUUCCCUUUGUGAGUAAAAAAUCCACCCAUAGGUUUGUAAAACAACGGCCGUCCUGCUACAGGGCAAACAGCCCUGCUUCCUGUAACCUGAAGGGAAAACACGCCAGGAGUUUUCCUUGAGGAGCUGCCGGCGGGAAGGGCCGGGUGGGGCCAGAGGGGACUCAGGGUCCCGAGCGCCUCCGCAGCGGAAUGUCGCUCAGGAGUUGAUGUUCUGUGUCCUCUGCCCAGAGGAACGUCUCGUUCGUUUUGGUUGUAAAGCAGCCAUUUGAAAACUUUUAAAAAGCACUAAUGUUUCACACUAAGUCAGCAAUUCAGAUAAUUGUUUAAAACUCUUCAAAAUGAUGCCCAUAGAUUUUACACUCACUCUGGGGAUACAGAAAUGUUUUCCAAAGGCUCAGAGCUCACUGUGCUGUGGAGGCAGUUCACACAAGGCAACAAAAGGUCAGAGCAGCAGCAGGGGAGGCGGACGGGGCCUGGCCCGGAGGAGGGGCGCACAGGCCCUCCCGGGGGCCAUCCCCAACGGGUGGACCGUCCAUGCGGGAGCCUGAGGGGGGGGACAGGCAGGGCAGGGCCGCAGCCGCUCUGCCCAGUGUUCCCCCAGAGUACAAGAGGCGUGGGUCCUCCAAGACCCCUCAGAGGCACGUCCUAGGGAAAAGCUGUCCAAGACACAAAAUAAAGGGAAGCUUGUAUGCUGCCAUUACAAGGACCUUUUCACCUGCGGGCACUCACCCCUAAGAGACUCUGCCAUUUCUUCAAGCUGUCACGUGUCACCGGGAGAGACGCGUGGCAUCAAAUGACAGCAGACCUGUGACAACGUUUGAAAUCUCCUGCCCUCAGAGGACGGCAGGCAGCAGUUGGCGAGGUGAUUUUGGCCCAUCUAUGCACAAAAGACCCCCUUCCUCAUGUUUUGCUACAUAAUGUGUAAAAUAUUGAUUAUUGCCACAGACUAUCUUUUUUAAAGGAAAAGAUAGCAGGUGUGUUUGUAUUUGCGUGUUUAGGAUUUGCAGUCUAAUUAACCCUAAAAUGGAUCUGUGGGUUCACACAAUUAAAACAGCACACAGCAAAACCAAGUGAAGCGAGCAGAGCAUCAGAUUCCACCCCGGGGCACCUGCCACUGCGCACGAUGAUCUCCUUCUGAAUUAGGUGUGGCUCUCCCCUUGGAAGCUGGGCAGGGACACCGAACGGCCGGCUUCUGGAACUGGGGCAAAGCACCUUAAUUUCCGACGAAAAUUAUUAAAACCAAGUGUGUUUAGCUGUUUAACUCAUUUACGUGAGAGGAACUGAAAGGAGUUCUCAGGAAAAGGUAGAAACUUUCCACAUUCACGGGAUGCGCCAGGAGCUGCAGGAAGGAAGACGCCUCAGGAGCCUCCGUGUGUGACCAUGACGGAGUCUGGGGCUGGAAACGGUUCAUGCUGCUCCCAAGCUGGCAACGUUGGAAGCCAAGUAGAAAAACAGAGGAAUUCCGAGCAUUUAGAGACAAACCGGUAACUGGGGAGAGCGACAGGGACCCCAGGUGCUGGCUCUCCUGUGUCCGGGUGGGUCCUGGGUCUUCCUUCCUCAGGGAAUUGGGACGAUUCCAUCUGGGGAAGGGGCCAGGUGGCAAGUUUCCAGUUGAAGGAAAUGCAGUUAUUACUAAACUCUUUGAUGCCUAGAACCCCCGUCAAAAUGCUCUAGAGGAAGGAGACAGAAGGAGAAGGAGAAGGAGAAGAGGAGGGAGAAGACGGUUCACUCUCUGCACACAGAGAAUCUUUGCCUGGGAACAGCAACAUUCCGAGAGUCCUUGUACUGAGAACCAGAGGACGGGGGUCCUCUCAGACCGUCUGUUUCCUCAUCUGAGGGCAACUGGGUUCUCCUUACAGGGCUCCAUCAGCUCCUACUUCCUGAAUGAACACUCCUCUCAGCCCAGGCUGGGUCGCGGGGUCUGUGAAAAACAGCUGAACUCUAGCAACUUGUCUAAAGACAAGAGAGAUUUAGGGAAAAUUCAGAUACGGCUCAGUAGGCUCAGUAACCUAUUCUCUGAAGGAAAAGGGUACUUUUACAGGACAGACAGCAAAGAUGAAUAUGUUAAAGCUUGAUAGUUCGUUGCCCACGUGGUAUCCCUGCGAAGACUGAUUUAUUUUCAAAUAGGAACGUCUUCUGCAUCACCCCCAGAUGUUUCUCUUUUACCUCAGUAGGUAACUUUUACCUCCAAAAGGUCAAAUAUUGUUUCUACUUCCUGUCCUCAUGUAAAAAUCAAGAACCCUUUCUAACACGUUUCUAAUUAUACUCCAGGCUCAUCUUCCUCUAAUCACGUUCAGUGUACAAUUGUGACAAAAGUGACAUUUUUUUCCCUUUUUCUUGGGCCAAGGAUGCUGCCACAGAAAAAUAAUUCCUGCCUAUUUUGAAGUCUGUGGCACCAAUCUGAAAUAAUGGCCAAUCACUGAGCUCAUCAUUUGGAACUGCUGGGUAAUCCAUCCAGCAGUGUGGGAGCAGGGCUACAGCUGCCCCGAGGAAGGUCCUGCAGGAUGACCCAGGAAAAUGGGGGCAGAAAUGAGAGAGAGGGGAGAGGGAGACAGACAGAGCACAGGAGCUACUGCCUCUGAUUAGAAAUUGCUUCAAAAUUACAUAUAAACGGUGACAGCCAAGUGGUCUGCCUGUUCCGUGAUGUACUCUCUGAGUCAAUUGACUCAUUUUCUCCUAGGACAUUGAUAAGACUUUCUCAAGGCUUUUUUUAAAUCUAGGAAAUAUUAAGUACCUCUUAAUGCUCUUUGGAGAACAGAACCCUUUCUACCAACUUAUGUCUCUAUGAUAGGAAGGGAAAAGUUAUGUUCUCAUCUUACCCACUAGAGCUGCCUAUAGGUAAAGAAAUCUCAGAAUCUUGUCCCACUGGGGGGAUGAGUAUGAAUAUUAUUUUGAAAGAAAUUGUACCCAAGUUAGACCCCGUGAAUAUGGGAUUUAAAAGUGGGAAUUCGUGUGGUCCCUACUGAAACAUGAAGCAUGCAGGUCUGCAGCGCCAUCAAUUCAAAAGCCAGUUUUUAAGGGUUCUUAACACAUAUGAUCUUCCCCCGGAUCCUCAGGGAAGUGUUCCAGGACCCCCCGUGGAUGCCUGAGACCGCAGAGAGUACCGGACCCUACAUACACGAUGUGUUUCCUGUCCACACACCCCUGUGACAGAGCUGUAAUUUAUAAGCUAGGCACAGUGUGCCGAGUUCCCAGCAUCACUCCUCCUGAGCUUUGGGGUCAUUACUAAGUAAAGUAAAGGUCGCUUGAAAACACGCUGUGACACCUCGGCAGUUGAUCUGAUAACCAGGACGGCUACUAAGUGACUGACAAGCAGGAGGUGCUGGUCGAAGGGGUGAUUCAUGCCCCGGGCAGGACGGAACAAGAUUUCAUCACGAUGCUCAGACGGUGCACAAUUUAAAAUUUAUGAAGUGCUUUUUACUUCUAGAAUUUUCCAUUUAAUAUUUUCAGAUCACAGUUGACCACAGGUAAUUGAAAUUGUGGAAAGAGAAAGUGUGGAUGGGUGAGGGCUACCGUAUUUCAACGAACGACGGCCAGAACACAAAAAGUAGAGCCUGGCCCACACCUGCAGCAGGCAGCCCAGGGCCCAGCCCGUCCUCUGCAGUCUCGGCCCAGGGCCCAGCCUGCGGAGGUCACACGUGUAGGGGGUCCUGCAGCCAGUCCAUGAAGCCCAACAACAACCCGGUGACAGUCGACCAAGCGGCCAGGACUGGAUCGUCACUGACCGCUGCCCUGAGUCUGUCCCCGCUUCCCCCGAGGACCAGCCAGAGACACCAGUCCUGAGGAAGCCCUUCUAGUUGGGCGCACUGCACCUGCCCCACCUCAGCCUCCGUGAGGGCCCCCAAAUACCCUCCCUUCUCCCCCUGGACAGCUGCCCCACGGCCCUGCCUGCCUUUCAGCCUCUCCCAAAGGCUCCUGACCAAGGCCAGCCCCCCUCCCCAGCAGGUUCUGUGUGAACGGCCUCUGCCCACUCUCAUCUGGGUGGUUUUCAUUUAUUUCCACAAGAUUGAUUGGAUUUUCUUGGUGUCCUGACAUCUGCAGUCCUUAGGCACUGGUGUAGAUCUGUUUGUUUUCCCUUCUCAAAGUAUCGUAUAUUCUUGGUAUCAGUAAUCUGUAACAUCUAUGGAUGAACUGAUCUGACCAGCAUAUACUACGUGCAGCUUUGAGGAAAGCCCCUUAAUCUGUCAACCCAUGGAAACACUGUCUAGCUUGUAGCAUUUCCAUUAUUUGAGGUGCAAUUUCAAAUCCUGCAGCAACAUGCCAUCAGAUUACUCUGUGGGAAAGGAUGGAAGGGGUACAAUUCU